UACGUAGGGCGCAAGCGUUGUCCGGAAUUAUUGGGCGUAAAGAGCUCGUAGGCGGUUUGUCGCGUCUGCUGUGAAAACCUAAGGCUCAACCUUGGGCUUGCAGUGGGUACGGGCAGACUAGAGUGCGGUAAGGGAGAUCGGAAUUCCUGGUGUAGCGGUGAAAUGCGCAGAUAUCAGGAGGAACACCGGUGGCGAAGGCGGAUCUCUGGGCCGUAACUGACGCUGAGGAGCGAAAGCGUGGGGAGCAAACAG
rnacentral:rRNA from 1 species